UUAUGAUAUCAUGAUCAUUGCUGAUCAUUCAUACGAUCCCUGCAAUUGUUCUGCAGUUUUUGAGGGGAUCGUACGAUGGUUGACAAAGACCUUCGACAUCAAUUA
rnacentral:pre_miRNA from 2 species